rnacentral:rRNA from 1 species
CCAGACUCCUACGGGAGGCAGCAGUGGGGAAUAUUGGACAAUGGACCGAGAGUCUGAUCCAGCAAUUCUGUGUGCACGAUGAAGUUUUUCGGAAUGUAAAGUGCUUUCAGUUGGGAAGAAAGAAAUGACGGUACCAACAGAAGAAGUGACGGCUAAAUACGUGCCAGCAGCCGCGGUAAUACGUAUGUCACGAGCGUUAUCCGGAUUUAUUGGGCGUAAAGCGCGUCUAGGUGGUUAUGUAAGUCUGAUGUGAAAAUGCAGGGCUCAACUCUGUAUUGCGUUGGAAACUGUGUAACUAGAGUACUGGAGAGGUAAGCGGAACUACAAGUGUAGAGGUGAAAUUCGUAGAUAUUUGUAGGAAUGCCGAUGGGGAAGCCAGCUUACUGGACAGAUACUGACGCUGAAGCGCGAAAGCGUGGGUAGCAAACAGGAUUAGAUACCCUGGUAGUCCACGCCGUAAACGAUGAUUACUAGGUGUUGGGGGUCGAACCUCAGCGCCCAAGCAAACGCGAUAAGUAAUCCGCCUGGGGAGUACGUACGCAAGUAUGAAACUCAAAGGAAUUGACGGGGGCCCGCACAAG